rnacentral:rRNA from 1 species
ACUCAAAUGAAUUGACGGGGGCCCGCACAAGCAGCGGAGCAUGUGGUUUAAUUCGAAGCAACGCGAAGAACCUUACCAGGACUUGACAUCCCUGCGAUGCCGCGGAAAGGCGGCAGGCCCUUCGGGGCGUAGGAGACAGGUGGUGCAUGGUUGUCGUCAGCUCGUGUCGUGAGAUGUUGGGUUAAGUCCCGCAACGAGCGCAACCCCUAUACCCAGUUACCAGCGCGUAGCGGCGGGGACUCUGGGGAGACUGCCGGGGACAACUCGGAGGAAGGUGGGGACGACGUCAAAUCAUCAUGCCCCUUAUGUUCUGGGCUACACACGUGCUACAAUGGCCGUUACAAAGGGAAGCGAAAGGGUAACCUGGAGCGGAACCCAAAAAGGCGGUCCCAGUUCGGAUUGUGGGCUGCAACCCGCCCACAUGAAGUCGGAGUUGCUAGUAAUCGCGAAUCAGCAUGUCGCGGUGAAUACGUUCCCGGGCCUUGCACACACCGCCCGU